UCCCAUUCCCGAGGCUAGCAACUCAAGGCUACAUUAGCCGCUACAAUCAUACAUAUCGAAACCUCUGUUGCACUGUGGGUAAUGUAGGACAGGAAUAUGGUAAAUAGACUUUACCUUUCUAGUCUUCUGACCACUCAAGGCGCACAUAUCUCAUUUACCCACACAUGCACUGAUGGCUGUGGCUGUCAUGCAAUACUCAUGGUACAAUUUGGGGUUCAGCAUUUUGCCCAAGGACACCACUGAUCAUCUGAUUAGUGGGCGACCUGCUCUCCCUCCUGAGCCACAGCCGCCCCCAAAUAAAAGAAGACAAUAUCUCUGCCUCUGCGGCAUCGAUUUUUCAAAGAGCAGCCAGUGUGCAGAACACAAAAAGGUUACGUGCGCUCCACAAAAUGACACGCUGACCCUUGGCAAGCCUUACCGUCCUCGUAGAAGACAUCCUCCGCUUCCUCGCGCAUCAUCUCAUCCAGGUCAUCCUCUGCAACGUCGGUCACAGCCAUCACUACUCCUCUUCUUCUUCUUCGCCUUUUUCUCUCCCCCUCGUCUCCCUCGGCUGACUAAUCUGAGCUUCAGAGAAAGUGA